UACGGAGGGUGCAAGCGUUGUCCGGAUUUAUUGGGUUUAAAGGGUGCGUAGGUGGUUGAAUAAGUCUGGUUUGAAAGUCAGUCGCUUAACGAUUGAGGGUGGCUGGAUACUGUUCAACUUGAAUAAUCUGGAGGUAGGCGGAACGGGUUGUGUAGCGGUGAAAUGCAUAGAUAUGACCCAGAACACCGAUUGCGAAGGCAGCCUACUACGGAUUGAUUGACACUGAGGCACGAGAGCAUGGGGAGCAAACAGG
rnacentral:rRNA from 1 species